rnacentral:rRNA from 1 species
UACGUAAGUGGCAAGCGUUAUCCGGAUUUACUGGGCAUAAAGCGCGCGUAGGCGGUAGUCUAAGUCAGAUGUAAAAGGCUGAAGCUCAACUUCAGUAAGCAUUUGAAACUGGGUUACUAGAGAUCGGGAGAGGAAAGUGGAACUCACAGUGUAGCGGUGAAAUGCGUAGAUAUUGUGAGGAACACCAGUGGCGAAGGCGACUUUCUGGACCGAAUCUGACGCUGAGGUGCGAAAGCGUGGGGAGCGAACGGG